rnacentral:rRNA from 1 species
GCACCACAAGAACGCGUGGAGCAUGUGGCUUAAUUUGACUCAACGCGGGAAAUCUUACCGGGUCCGGACACACUGAGGAUUGACAGGCAAUAUCUCAUGUUAACGGUAAGUUUACUUACCGCUUAACAUCGAGUGUUAAAUAUGCUAGUCCUUUCAUGAUUAUGUGAUAGGUGGUGCAUGGCCGUUCUUAGUUCGUGGAGUGAUCUGUCUGCUUAAUUGCGUUUCACUAAGGGCCCAUAAAUUCAAGGUAUGUUAGCUCUCGUCGCUCUAUGGACCCCUUAACUCCAAUAUUCUUAUUGUGUUAAGCGCGUGUCUUUAUUUUAAGAGUUUUAAGACACUGCGCAUGCUGUUGGGCUCUGAAAGCAACGAACGUGACCGCAACGUCUUGUUGCCUUAAACUAGCGUAUAUUGCAAUUUAUUGUAAUAUCGCUUACAGAGGCUAUUUAAAACUAGACGGACCGCUGUUUCUUUCUUAAACCA